UCUCUGGAGCUGCCAUUGAGCCUGACAUGAGAGGACACAUGCUGCCAGUGUCCUCAAUCAGAUUGAUGCUCAUUCCAUAGUAAAAUACCAGGUUUAAUCCCAUGUGAAGACAGGAAGUCCACCAAAGUCACCAGAUUCAGUAGGCUUCUUCAUCCCCAAGCAUGUAUUGAGCAGUAAACACUGCUGAGAGACACUUCAACAUGCUGAAAUUUCUAGAAGUAUUGUGACUAUCAGUGCCACAUACAUCAGGUGAAUCUUCUUAAAGAAGCAAAGAUCACCCAAGCUACUUGCAAGUGUCUCAGAACAACCAAGCUGCCUGAAAGUGACAAGUCUUUGAACUUGUGAGCUGCCUUCCAGUUAUGUAGCACUCUCCAGGUUUCCAAUGUCUGUGAACUGUCACACACGCUAACGAGAGCUUUUGGCAAUUCAGCUGUCUUUGAGUCAUUUCAGCUCCUAUAACACCUAUACUGUAUUCCUGUAAUGAGUCCUAAUAAA